GAUGAACGCUGGCGGCGUGCCUAAUACAUGCAAGUCGAACGCAUAGCGAAAGGUGCUUGCACCUUUCAAGUGAGUGGCGAACGGGUGAGUAACACGUGGACAACCUGCCUCAAGGCUGGGGAUAACAUUUGGAAACAGAUGCUAAUACCGAAUAAAACUUAGUGUCGCAUGACACAAAGUUAAAAGGCGCUUCGGCGUCACCUAGAGAUGGAUCCGCGGUGCAUUAGUUAGUUGGUGGGGUAAAGGCCUACCAAGACAAUGAUGCAUAGCCGAGUUGAGAGACUGAUCGGCCACAUUGGGACUGAGAAACGGCCCAAACUCCUACGGGAGGCUGCAGUAGGGAAUCUUCCACAAUGGGCGAAAGCCUGAUGGAGCAACGCCGCGUGUGUGAUGAAGGCGUUCGGGUCGUAAAGCACUGUUGUAUGGGAAGAACAGCUAGAAUAGGAAAUGAUUUUAGUUUGACGGUACCAUACCAGAAAGGGACGGCUAAAUACGUG
rnacentral:rRNA from 1 species